rnacentral:rRNA from 1 species
UCACAGAGGGUGAGAAUCCCGUGCUUGGCUGGCUGUCCCCGUCCAUGUGAGGUGUCUUCGACGAGUCGAGUUGUUUGGGAAUGCAGCUCAAAAUGGGUGGUAAAUUUCAUCUAAAGCUAAAUAUUGGUGGGAGACCGAUAGCGCACAAGUAGAGUGAUCGAAAGAUGAAAAGCACUUUGAAAAUAGAGUUAAAAAGUACGUGAAAUUGUUGAAAGGGAAGCGCUUGAGACCAGACUUCGGUAAGGGGUGAUCAGCCGUCCUUUUGGGCGGUGCACUUGCCCCCCUCCGGGCCAGCAUCGGUUGAGGCGGCGGGAUAAAGGUCCCGGGAAUGUGGCUCCUUCACGGGAGUGUUAUAGCCCGGGUGAAUGCCGCCAGCUUCGACCGAGGACCGCACCCGCAAGGGUUAGGAUGCUUGGCAUAAUGGUCUUCAGCGACCCGUCUUGAAACACGGACCAAGGAGUCUAACAUCUAUGCGAGUGUUUGGGUGUCAAACCCUUGCGCGAAAUGAAAGUGAACGGAGGUGGGAACCCGCAAGGGCGCACCAUCGACCGGUCCCGAAGUCUUCUGAAGGAUCUGAGUAGGAGCAUAGCUGUUGGGACCCGAAAGAUGGUGAACUAUGCCUGAAUAGGGUGAAGCCAGAGGAAACUCUGGUGGAGGCUCGCAGCGGUUCUGACGUGCAAAUCGAUCGUCAAAUUUGGGUAUAGGGGCGAA